rnacentral:rRNA from 1 species
GCGAACGCUGGCGGCAGGCCUCACACCUGCAAGUCGAACGCACUCUUCGGAGUUAGUGGCGGACGGGUGAGUAACACGUGGGAACGUGCCUUUUGGUUCGGAAUAACUCAGGGAAACUUGUGCUAAUACCGAAUGUGCCCUUCGGGGGAAAGAUUUAUCGCCAUUAGAGCGGCCCGCGUCUGAUUAGCUAGUUGGUGAGGUAACGGCUCACCAAGGCGACGAUCAGUAGCUGGUCUGAGAGGAUGACCAGCCACACUGGGACUGAGACACGGCCCAGACUCCUACGGGAGGCAGCAGUGGGGAAUCUUGCGCAAUGGGCGAAAGCCUGACGCAGCCAUGCCGCGUGAAUGAUGAAGGUCUUAGGAUUGUAAAAUUCUUUCACCGGGGACGAUAAUGACGGUACCCGGAGAAGAAGCCCCGGCUAACUUCGUG